rnacentral:rRNA from 1 species
CUACGGGAUGCUGCAGUGGGGAAUAUUGGACAAUGGGCGCAAGCCUGAUCCAGCAAUACCGCGUGUGUGAAGAAGGCCUGCGGGUUGUAAAGCACUUUCAAUUGUGAAGAAAAGCGAGGGCUUAAUACGCUCUUGUCUUGACGUUAACUUUAGAAGAAGCACCGGCUAACUCUGUGCCAGCAGCCGCGGUAAUACAGAGGGUGCGAGCGUUAAUCGGAAUUACUGGGCGUAAAGCGUACGUAGGCGGUUUAGUAAGUCAGAUGUGAAAGCCCUGGGCUCAACCUGGGAACUGCAUUUGAAACUGCUAGACUAGAGUGUGGUAGAGGGAAGUGGAAUUCCGGGUGUAGCGGUGAAAUGCGUAGAUAUCCGGAGGAACACCAGUGGCGAAGGCGACUUCCUGGACCAACACUGACGCUGAGGUACGAAAGCGUGGGUAGCAAACAGGAUUAGAUACCCCCGUAGUC